AACGCGAAGAACCUUACCUAAGCUUGACAUCCCUCUGAAAGCCCCUUAAUCGGGGCCCCUCUUCGGAGCAGAGGUGACAGGUGGUGCAUGGUUGUCGUCAGCUCGUGUCGUGAGAUGUUGGGUUAAGUCCCGCAACGAGCGCAACCCUUGUCUUUAGUUGCCAGCAGCUUGGCUGGGCACUCUAGAGAGACUGCCGAGGAUAACUCGGAGGAAGGUGGGGAUGACGUCAAAUCAUCAUGCCCCUUAUGCUUAGGGCUACACACGUGCUACAAUGGCUGUUACAAAGGGUUGCCAAGCCGCGAGGCGGAGCUAAUCCCAUAAAGACAGUCUAAGUUCGGAUUGCAGGCUGAAACUCGCCUGCAUGAAGCUGGAGUUACUAGUAAUCGCAGAUCAGAAUGCUGCGGUGAAUGCGUUCCCGGGUCUUGUACACACCG
rnacentral:rRNA from 1 species